rnacentral:rRNA from 1 species
UACGAAGGGGGCUAGCGUUGCUCGGAAUCACUGGGCGUAAAGGGUGCGUAGGCGGGUCUUUAAGUCAGGGGUGAAAUCCUGGAGCUCAACUCCAGAACUGCCUUUGAUACUGAGGAUCUUGAGUUCGGGAGAGGUGAGUGGAACUGCGAGUGUAGAGGUGAAAUUCGUAGAUAUUCGCAAGAACACCAGCGGCGAAGGCGGCACUCUGGGCUGGAACUGACGCUGAGGAGCGAAAGCGUGGGUAGCAAACAGG